rnacentral:rRNA from 1 species
AACUCCGUGCCAGCAGCCGCGGUAAUACGGGGGGUGCGAGCGUUGUCCGGAAUCAAUGGGCGUAAAGGGCGCGUAGGUGGUUUGAUAAGGGUGUGGUGAAAGUCCGGGGCUCAACCCCGGAUCUGCCGUGCCGACUGUCAAACUCGAGGGCUGUAGAGGCAGACGGAAUUCCGGGUGUAGCGGUGGAAUGCGUAGAGAUCCGGAGGAAGACCGGUGGCGAAGGCGGUCUGCUGGGCAGUUUCUGACACUGAUGCGCGACAGCGUGGGGAGCAAACAGGAUUAGAUACCCUGGUAGUCCACGCCGUAAACGAUGGGUACUAGGUGCCUGGGGGAGCGACCCUCUGGGUGCCGGCGCUAACGCAGGAAGUACCCCGCCUGGGGAGUACGACCGCAAGGUUGAAACUCAAAGGAAUUGACG